GAGGAAAGUCCGGGCUCUAUAUAGAAAAAUAUAGCUAUAUAAAUAUAGUAUAGGCGACUAUGAGGAAAGUGCCACAGAAACAAACCUACUUUAAUAAUGAAUAUUGUAUUCAAGUAAGGGUGCAAUGGUACGGUAAAAGCGUACCAGAAAUAUUGUUAAGAUAUUUGCUAGGUAAACCCCGUAUAAGAGCAAAGUAGUUAGAAUAUUUCUUAUUUUAUUAAUAAUUUUCAAUAAGUUUCUUAAAUUGUCGCUAACUUUUUAUUUUACUGCAUUAAGUAUACUUUUUUAUUUAGUUACUAAAGAUCAAUAAUUACCCUUUUUAUUUAAAACUAAUUAAGAACAGAAUCCGGCUUAU
rnacentral:RNase_P_RNA from 1 species